AGGGAGGGAAGAGAAAAUGCAAAUCGAAUUUCAUUGGCCUGUAGCCCCCUUAGAUCUCCAUGCUCCCAGAGGUGGUGACACACUUGUAUUCAGCGGCCAUCACCGGUCUUGCUUGUAAAAGUCCGAUUUCGAUGUGGGCACGCUUUCCUGAGUGCCGCGAGUCUCUGGAAUUACCCUAAACUUCCUCUUUGCUUUGCAGUGAUGGAGAAGUAGGAACACCCCACUGACAGGAAUGGUAGCCUCCCAUGCAGAAGCGGGAGUGUGCUCAGCCUCAUGUGAUGUGUCUAUAUUUCAUCCUCCAUAGUGAAAAAGGCAAACAGCCAUCAUCUUUCUGGGGCUGUGUGUGUAGGAACUACAUGGAUGAAAACAAGCUGUGUAGGGAUUCAAUGCACUCUACCUGCAAAAUGACAACAGUUGUGGCUUUUUGGAUCCUUUUGGGUCCAAACAAGGAGCAGAAUGUUAACUAAUUUCGUUUUCCCAGUUGGGAUACCACAACCUUAGCAUGUGGAUUUAUCUUGAAACCAGGAAGCCCUGACAUACAUUGCUGCCCAAACAAGAGGAAUCCCAGCGUUCUAUCCUAUAACGAACAACAAAAAAGCAUAUAUCCAGAAGAUAUCUAUCCUGAUGAUUGCAAAGUGCUUAAGCCUAGGCUCUGAGAAAAAGCACCAACUGCCUUCAAGUUCUUCUGGGUAUUCUGUUCUACGUUUUCUUCACAUCUCCUUUGACUGAAAAUUUCCAGUGCAUCUGUGUUUAUGGACUGAAUGUUUAUGUCCCCCCGCCCCCAGCCCAAAUUUGUAUGUCGAAGCCCUAGCCCCAACAUAACUGUAUUUGGAAAUAGGGUAGGACCCUGAUCCAGUAGGAUUCGUGUCCUUAUAAGAAGAGGCACCAUCAGAGCACUCUCCUGUCCCUCUCUCCCUGUCUCCCUCUCCCUCUCCCUAGCACAGGCAAGAAAAGAUCACACAAAGCAAGAUGGCAGCCACCUACAAGCCAAGAGAAGAGGCCGCAGAAUGAAACCUAUUUUGCCAACACCUUGAUCUGGGACUUCCAGCCUCUAGAACUGUGAGAAAAUAAGUUUCUGUUGUUUAAGCCAUCCAGUUUAUGACAAUUUCUUAUAGUAGCCCAAACAGAUUAAGACAGCCCCCCCCCCCCCCAGCAAUGUUUUCCCAGGAACAUGGCAACAAUUGCUGGUGCCCCUCCCCCCCUUAAGGACUGCUUGGUGUCCCCACACAUGGGUACAACUGGAGAGAUCUCGGCUCUCUAAGGGGCCCACGCCACCACAGCUUGAGGAGGAUGCAACACAGCCCAAGGCCCCAGAGGAUGACUGAGGACCAGAUACUAAGGGAAGCUUUUUUUCAGCCAUCAACCCCUAGAGGAAUAUGUGUGUGUGAGUGUGUAUGUGUAUGUGUGUGUGCGUGUAUGUCUGUUGAGGGGUAACUUUUUCAAAGGGUCCAUACUAGAAAUGUCCUCGAGCCCAGGGCUGCGUGGGACUUGUUCUCCACCCUGAAGUAUGCAACCAGAGUGUGAAUGUUGGCCUUAGAAGAUACCAGCUCAGUGAGGGCUGUAUCUGGGGAAGCUGUUCGAUUUCAUGGAAAGAGCAUUGGCUCUAGAGUCAGACAAAGCUGGGUUCCAAUUCAAGCUUUUUAGGGCAUGCAUCAAAAUAGUAUAAGCAAAGGCUGUAUUGGCUCAUGUCACUGAAAAAUCCAAGGAGUUGUUAUGCUUUCAGGCACAGCAACAUCAAGGCCCUCAAAAGAUGUUAUUGGAAAUCUGUGUUCUAUCUUUCCAUGCUAUUUCUCCAAUGGCUUCACUCUGGGGUCUUCCUCAGUAGCUAUAGACUCAAGUGAUCCUUAGUACUCAGGAUGGGUGGAGGAAGGAGAGAGUCUCUUUCCAAGGGGUACAACAAAGACUUGGUGACAUUGCUGAUUGGCCAAUUCUAAAUCACAUAUUCACCCCUGGGUGGGAUGGGGCUGGUGGGGACUCCCAAUGAAACCUGGAAGAGAUGAUACUGUUACUUAAGGAGGGAGUGAUGCAAGUCAGGCCAAAUCAACAGAUGUCUACAUAGACAUUAAAGGACUCUGUGAUUCUAAGCAAGUUGUUUAACCUCUUUGAUCCUCAAGUUCCCCUUUUAUAGAAUGGCUAUACGAGUACCUGCCACCAAGGAAGCUACACAAAGCUCAAGGCACAGAAUGGAGGCGUAAUAACUGUUAACUUUCUUCUUGCUUCCUUUUCCUGUUCCUGGCCUUCUCCUGGAGGCUGGGGAAUGUACCAGGUUUGCCUUGACUGGUAUUGAAGAUGUCAUGCUGUUUCAGGUUGGGGAUCCUUGAGCAGUAUGAAGACUUCAGAAUACACUCAAUGGAGUUCCCGUGCCAGGGGUCUGUUGCAUUUGGCAAUGGUGGCCUCCAGGGCACAGUGGACUCUGAGUUGGGCUCUGCUCUGGUUGGGCUCAGCCCUGGGACAUCCGGAAAGGCUGGCGGAGGCCUUGCAAAGGGCAAGUGACGUCUGCAGUUGUCUGGAAAGGAGAGCUUACAACUGCAGCAGCUGUGGGCUCAUGGGGAUGAGCCAGGGCUAAGAAGGAGGCAGGACUCCGAGUGCACCACGGAUUUUGGAACAUCCUAAGCCUGGGAAAAUGAAGUGGACCCUGGCUACUCCCAAUAGGAGCACUGGAAACAACCCAAAUGCAUAUCAAUAGCAGAUUAAACAAUCAUGCUAAUUCCAUACAAGGGGACUCUAUGGUGUUAAGAAAAGAGAGAAGCCGUUCUCCAUGUAUUGAUGUCGAAAGAUGUCCACUACUGAGAGCCAAGUUUAAAAAGAAAAAAGGCAAAGUAAAAACAGCAUUACGUAUGUUCUCAUUUCAAUUUAUAUGUACUAUAAAGAUCCAUAAUAGCAUGCACUGAAAAAAAGUAUCUGGAUGAAUAUAAACCAAGCAGUGUUUAUCUCUGAGGUUAUAGGGACUUUCACUGUUUUAUGGCAUGCACUUUGUAAUUUUUAUUACAGCCAUGUGUUACUUUUAUUAUCAGAAAUAACAACAAUGAUUCUUAAAAUGAGAAGAAAAAUAUUGAUCAGAAGAAAGUACUGCACACUCAUUCCUAGAAACAACUGACACCGGAGAUCUUGUGAUGUUAUUCUUGAAAAUCAAGGGAUUCUACUGAACAGGUUUGCACACCAGUGACUGGAUUCGGGAAAGUUGUUUUUGGUUUUUUUGGUUGUUUUUUUUGUUUGUUUGUUUGUUUUUUGGUUUUUGGGGUUUUUUUGCUUAUGUAGUGCAAUGCUGCUGCACAUGAUUAAAACAUAUUUUUUUCCAUGGGUUGGAGAAGUAGUAGCCUAAUAGCUUAUUUCCUAAGAUUUCCACUAGAAAAGCCCACAAGUUGUUUUAAGAUGCUUACAUGAACACAAAUUAGAAAGUGACAAGCCUUUCUUUAUUAUACAUUAGUGAGAAGGAGGAAGAGGGGCGUGAGGGAGAAGGAGGAAAGGGGGGGCGCAGAAAAGCAAUUGGAUGCUCUAUUCAGGAAAUGGUAUUCCUUUUUACCUCCAUCAGUGGAGAUGCAUUCUGCAAGCUUCUAGCUAGAAGAAGGUGCUUGUAGUUUUUUUCAGACCCUCUCUUUUCUAUUUAACUCUUCAGGCACCAAGUUUUCAUGAAUUUGCACACUUUUCUAAAACUUUGGGAUGACAGUGGAAACUAUUCUUUUCUUAUAGAAUGGUUUAUGGUGCCCUCUUUUGGAUUUCCAUUUAAAUUCCCAGGCUGGAGCAUGACCCCUGCCGCUCUGAAAUGAACCUAAGAAAUGUGACCAGAACUGGGUUUCCACACAGCUGGUUGCCUGUUUUGUUUGGUUUGGUAUAUGAGGAGUAGGGAUUCCAAUUCCCACUCGUGUCUGGCUAGCCCUGGGUCCUGGAAGGGACCAAGCUGGUGAUCCCUUCCAGCUUUCCCAUGUAUAGUGAGGAAUUGUAGGCUGGGGAUGAAAAGGUUGUCUCUGCGGCCGAGAACAGCCAGCAAAACUCCGCUCUCCCGUUAUUCCAGUUAGCUACCUGACUUCCGCUCUUCCCAUGGCUUUAUAAUGAAAAUUGUUCAAAUGAAGAUUUAUGACUUUAUUUUGGUGGGAUGUCUCAGGCGUUUGGUUUGAGGGAUGAAAUGCAUACUUAGCUUUCCACUCAUGCAUAGCCUAGCUAGUCUUUUCAUUACUGCAUUUGGCUCAGUCUUUGCCCAUCAAGCUCUGGCCUCCUUCCUAGGAUAAGUCAUGGCUUUGACUCCAGAGGCUGCCUGAGCCUCCUGCCCCUCUGAUGCUGCUUCCCUGGGCUGCCAGCGUUGGCCUGGAUCACAGGGCCAUUGUGUCAAUGUCCUUCAGUCUUCAACCUAGGAGAUGAAAUUUGAACUGCUCUUGGGGGCAGGAUGUCAGCUUCCUGGAAAAACAACAGACUCUGUCGCCUGGAACUGAGUGGCAACAUCCAAGCUGUGAGAAACAUUCUGAAAAUCGAAUGCUGUCUGUGGUCCUUAACACGGGUGGCCUGGUUCACCAGAGAUGGAACGGCUUUGCUUUGGGGGAAAAUUUUCCAGUCCCAACUGAACACAUUCUCAAAAUGCAGAGCAUUAUGGCCUCUUUGUUUUCUCUGCCUCGUGCAUGAAAGAAGAUACCUGCAAGCAAUUUCCUGUGCUGACAGAUCAGGAACGAAGUCUCUGAGCUCAAGGGCAAAUGGGAGAACUGCCUGCAUCAGGCUGGUCAUUGGGGAAGACUAAUGGCUACAAAGCACCAGCUGAAGAUAUCACCUGGUUAUUUAAAAACCUUUGUGUAGUACAAUGAGCCAAAUGGAAGUUCUAUGCAGAGGACAAGGAACUAUUCAUUUCACUCAGGUUUAACUUUUCAGAAGAGCCCUUUUCAGAAGAGGACCCCUCUAUUUUGAGAGCACUAAAUCCUCUUGGUGACUUUGGUAAAAGAGACAUGAAAUAACAGAGGAAGCAAAUGUGUUUCAGAUGGAAAUUAAUGGCUCUUGGAAUGGAAUGCCUGGUAAACAUCUGGUGUCCUUUUAUCUUGAAUGAAUGUCUGUCUCCCUUAGUUAAUAGAUUACACCUGUUGACCAACCAAACCUCUCCCUACAUCCAAAUGAAGGUGAAAACACUGAUGUAGAGGUCCCACCCCUAGAGAAAGAUCCUGAUAUAAUCUCUUGGAUUUGCCCUGGGCUUGGCGAAAGUUUUUAAAGUUCCCAGGUGAUUUUAAUAUGCAGCCAAGAUUGAGAACCCCAGUGUAAACAGAAGGAGACUUUGAUAGAUUGGGGGAUAUAAUUUAUUCAUGCAGCAAAAAUUAAAACAAGCUAACUAGCGAUAUGAAUUGUUUAUAAAUAUUUUGUCAUGUGCUUAAAACAUUUUUAAAUGUUUACAUUGUUUACAUUGGAUUUUUAAAUUAUUUUUAUCAGAUUUAGACUUUAUAUUUGAUUUAUCGAGCUCUUGUCAGUACUAUAAACACAUCAUGAGGCAGAUGUUCUCCUGUCCGUUGUGUCAGUGAUGAGCAACUAUUAACAAACAAAAAUAAGAUGAGUCUACAUAUUGCGUGCCGUCCUUUCAGACUUUUCCCCAGGGGACACCCCUAUAGUGGAUUACCUCUGAUUGAGGACAAUCUGGGGUGGCCACUUGACACAUUAUGUUUUCUAUUUUAUAACUAGUUUAUAUAGUCAUUUUUAAAAAAGAAUUAGAUAAAUAUAACUGGGUGACUGGCUGAGAGUCUGUCUUUGCAUGGUAGGAGGCAAUUUAACUUAUAUUAGGAGAAAUAUGGUUCUGGAAAAACCUGUUAAGUAGUCUGUGCUAGUCAAAGGCUCCUUGAAUUAAAGAAUGUCUGAACUGUGUUGCCAAUAAACCAUCCUCUUGUAGACAAUGCUAUGCACUGAUACUUGCAACUGUCUUUACAACUUUGGUUUAAUGACUAUUAAGGCAUGACCACAAAACAAACAGGAAAAAGUAAUGCUGAAAAAGUAAUGCAGGAAUACCAUAGUUCCAACCGAAUGCAAACACAUAGAUCCAUAAUCACCUCCCACAUAACCAACUAUGCCUGAAAACUCUUAAAUCUGUACAAGAUGUGUUUAUUUAAGACCUUUACUGGCUACCCUUGCAUCCAGCGAUUAAAUACUAGGAAUCUAUGAUUGA